rnacentral:rRNA from 1 species
UGGGGAAUUUUGGACAAUGGGCGAAAGCCUGAUCCAGCAAUGCCGCGUGUGAAGAAGGCCUUCGGGUUGUAAAGCACUUUUGUCCGGAAAGAAAUCCUUGGCUCUAAUACAGUCGGGGGAUGACGGUACCGGAAGAAUAAGCACCGGCUAACUACGUGCCAGCAGCCGCGGUAAUACGUAGGGUGCAAGCGUUAAUCGGAAUUACUGGGCGUAAAGCGUGCGCAGGCGGUUUGCUAAGACCGAUGUGAAAUCCCCGGGCUCAACCUGGGAACUGCAUUGGUGACUGGCAGGCUAGAGUAUGGCAGAGGGGGGUAGAAUUCCACGUGUAGCAGUGAAAUGCGUAGAGAUGUGGAGGAAUACCGAUGGCGAAGGCAGCCCCCUGGGCCAAUACUGACGCUCAUGCACGAAAGCGUGGGGAGCAAACAGGAUUAGAUACCCUGGUAGUCCACGCCCUAAAACGAUGUCAACUAGUUGUUGGGGAUUCAUUUCCUUAGUAACGUAGCUAACGCGUGAAGUUGACCGCCUGGGGAGUACGGUCGCAAGAUUAAAACUUAAAUGAAUUGACGGGGUCAUAGCUGUUUCCU